rnacentral:rRNA from 1 species
UUAAGUGACUAAGCGUACACGGUGGAUGCCUAGGCAGUCAGAGGCGAUGAAGGACGUACUAACUUGCGAUAAGCGCAGAUAAGGCAGUAAGAGCCGUUUGAGUCUGCGAUUUCCGAAUGGGGAAACCCAACUGCACAAGCAGUUACUGUUAACUGAAUACAUAGGUUAACAGAGCAAACCGGGGGAACUGAAACAUCUAAGUACCCCGAGGAGAAGAAAUCAACCGAGAUUCCGGUAGUAGCGGCGAGCGAACCUGGAUUAGCCCUUAAGCACUCGGUGAAGUAGGUGAACAAGCUGGAAAGCUUGGCGAUACAGGGUGAUAGCCCCGUAACCGACGCUUCAUCGAGCGUGAAAUCGAGUAGGGCGGGACACGUGAUAUCCUGUCUGAAUAUGGGGGGACCAUCCUCCAAGGCUAAAUACUCCUGACUGACCGAUAGUGAACCAGUACCGUGAGGGAAAGGCGAAAAGAACCCCUGUGAGGGGAGUGAAAUAGAACCUGAAACCGUGUACGUACAAGCAGUAGGAGCACCUUCGUGGUGUGACUGCGUACCUUUUGUAUAAUGGGUCAGCGACUUAUAUUCAGUGGCAAGGUUAACCGUAUAGGGGAGCCGUAGCGAAAGCGAGUCUUAACUGGGCGCUCAGUCUCUGGAUAUAGACCCGAAACCGGGUGAUCUAGCCAUGGGCAGGUUGAAGGUUGAGUAACAUCAACUGGAGGACCGAACCGACUAAUGUUGAAAAAUUAGCGGAUGACUUGUGGCUAGGGGUGAAAGGCCAAUCAAACUCGGAGAUAGCUGGUUCUCCCCGAAAGCUAUUUAGGUAGCGCCUCGGACGAAUACUACUGGGGGUAGAGCACUGUUAAGGCUAGGGGGUCAUCCCGACUUACCAACCCUUUGCAAACUCCGAAUACCAGUAAGUACUAUCCGGGAGACACACGGCGGGUGCUAACGUCCGUCGUGGAGAGGGAAACAACCCAGACCGCCAGCUAAGGUCCCAAAGUAUUGCUAAGUGGGAAACGAUGUGGGAAGGCUCAGACAGCUAGGAUGUUGGCUUAGAAGCAGCCAUCAUUUAAAGAAAGCGUAAUAGCUCACUAGUCGAGUCGGCCUGCGCGGAAGAUGUAACGGGGCUAAGCAAUACACCGAAGCUGCGGCAAUGCCUUUUAGGUAUUGGGUAGGGGAGCGUUCUGUAAGCCGUUGAAGGUGGUCUGUAAGGGCUGCUGGAGGUAUCAGAAGUGCGAAUGCUGACAUGAGUAACGACAAAGGGGGUGAAAAACCUCCUCGCCGGAAGACCAAGGGUUCCUGUCCAACGUUAAUCGGGGCAGGGUGAGUCGACCCCUAAGGUGAGGCCGAAAGGCGUAAUCGAUGGGAAACGGGUUAAUAUUCCCGUACUUCUGACUAUUGCGAUGGGGGGACGGAGAAGGCUAGGUGGGCCAGGCGACGGUUGUCCUGGUUCAAGUGCGUAGGCUUAAGAGUUAGGUAAAUCCGGCUCUUUAUAAGGCUGAGACACGACGUCGAGCUGCUACGGCAGUGAAGUCAUUGAUGCCAUGCUUCCAGGAAAAGCCUCUAAGCUUCAGAUAGUCAGGAAUCGUACCCCAAACCGACACAGGUGGUCGGGUAGAGAAUACCAAGGCGCUUGAGAGAACUCGGGUGAAGGAACUAGGCAAAAUGGUACCGUAACUUCGGGAGAAGGUACGCUCUUGAUGGUGAAGUCCCUUGCGGAUGGAGCUGACGAGAGUCGCAGAUACCAGGUGGCUGCAACUGUUUAUUAAAAACACAGCACUGUGCAAAAUCGCAAGAUGACGUAUACGGUGUGACGCCUGCCCGGUGCCGGAAGGUUAAUUGAUGGGGUUAGCGCAAGCGAAGCUCUUGAUCGAAGCCCCGGUAAACGGCGGCCGUAACUAUAACGGUCCUAAGGUAGCGAAAUUCCUUGUCGGGUAAGUUCCGACCUGCACGAAUGGCGUAAUGAUGGCCACGCUGUCUCCACCCGAGACUCAGUGAAAUUGAAAUCGCUGUGAAGAUGCAGUGUACCCGCGGCUAGACGGAAAGACCCCGUGAACCUUUACUACAGCUUGGCACUGAACAUUGAACCUACAUGUGUAGGAUAGGUGGGAGGCUAUGAAGACGUGACGCCAGUUGCGUUGGAGCCGUCCUUGAAAUACCACCCUUGUAUGUUUGAUGUUCUAACUUAGCCCCAUUAUCUGGGGUGAGGACAGUGCCUGGUGGGUAGUUUGACUGGGGCGGUCUCCUCCCAAAGAGUAACGGAGGAGCACGAAGGUGGGCUAAUCACGGUUGGACAUCGUGAGGUUAGUGCAAUGGCAUAAGCCCGCUUAACUGCGAGAAUGACGGUUCGAGCAGGUGCGAAAGCAGGUCAUAGUGAUCCGGUGGUUCUGUAUGGAAGGGCCAUCGCUCAACGGAUAAAAGGUACUCCGGGGAUAACAGGCUGAUACCGCCCAAGAGUUCAUAUCGACGGCGGUGUUUGGCACCUCGAUGUCGGCUCAUCACAUCCUGGGGCUGAAGUCGGUCCCAAGGGUAUGGCUGUUCGCCAUUUAAAGUGGUACGCGAGCUGGGUUUAGAACGUCGUGAGACAGUUCGGUCCCUAUCUGCCGUGGGCGUUGGAAGAUUGAAGGGGGCUGCUCCUAGUACGAGAGGACCGGAGUGGACGAACCUCUGGUGUUCGGGUUGUGUCGCCAGACGCAUUGCCCGGUAGCUAAGUUCGGAAUUGAUAAGCGCUGAAAGCAUCUAAGCGCGAAGCGAGCCCUGAGAUGAGUCUUCCC